rnacentral:lncRNA from 1 species
GGGUUAUGAGACUUCUAAAUUUUUACUCUUAGAAAUUGAGCAUCUUUAAAUGACAUGUUUAACAUAUUUUUGUUAGUUUUUAUUAUUCUCUCAAUCUCAAAAUCAGUAUAAAGAAUUUUGUAUACUACUAGCCUACUUAGAAGGAUAUUUGGAAGUAAGCCUUCUUAAUAUGUGUGAUUUAUAUAAUUCAGAAAAUAAGAUAUGUUACCUGCUAC